rnacentral:rRNA from 1 species
UACGAAGGGGGCUAGCGUUGCUCGGAAUCACUGGGCGUAAAGCGCACGUAGGCGGACUCUUAAGUCGGUGGUGAAAUCCUGGAGCUCAACUCCAGAACUGCCUUCGAUACUGUUAGUCUUGAGUCCGGGAGAGGUGAGUGGAAUUCCUAGUGUAGAGGUGAAAUUCGUAGAUAUUAGGAAGAACACCAGUGGCGAAGGCGGCUCACUGGCCCG